rnacentral:rRNA from 1 species
ACGAAGGUGGCAAGCGUUGUUCGGAUUCACUGGGCGUACAGGGAGCGUAGGCGGUUGGGUAAGCCCUCCGUGAAAUCUCCGGGCCUAACCCGGAAAGUGCAGAGGGGACUGCUCAGCUAGAGGAUGGGAGAGGAGCGCGGAAUUCCCGGUGUAGCGGUGAAAUGCGUAGAGAUCGGGAGGAAGGCCGGUGGCGAAGGCGGCGCUCUGGAACAUUUCUGACGCUGAGGCUCGAAAGCGUGGGGAGCAAACAGG